CCUUUCUCUCUUCCACUAGCUCCACCUCUAGAUAGUCUUCCUUUCCAUUACACUCGUCGUUAUUCUACUCCUCCAGCCAGUACUUUCCAUUACACUCGUUGUUCUAAAGUUCCAUGUGACACGCAGUCAUCUAUGCCUUUGUCUUCUACUCCUCCAGCCAGUACUACUGAUCCUUGCACUGACGGCUCUUCUCUAGCAACGCGAUACAAGGACUUGUAUGCAGGGGUUGUUUCUGAGCCUAGUACCUAUCAGGAGGCAGUAGUGUCACCUGAGUGGCAACUGGCUAUGUCUGAGGAGCUUGCAGCCUUAGAGCGUACUGGUACAUGGGAUUUGGUACCAUUACCUCCUCGUUCAGUCCCUAUCACUUGCAAAUGGGUGUAUAAGGUUAAAACCAAGUCAAAUGGUUCUGUGGAACUCUACAAGGCCCGCCUUGUUGCAAGA
rnacentral:rRNA from 1 species